AAUGGGUCAGCGACUUAUAUUCUGUAGCAAGGUUAACCGAAUAGGGGAGCCGAAGGGAAACCGAGUCUUAACUGGGCGUUAAGUUGCAGGGUAUAGACCCGAAACCCGGUGAUCUAGCCAUGGGCAGGUUGAAGGUUGGGUAACACUAACUGGAGGACCGAACCGACUAAUGUUGAAAAAUUAGCGGAUGACUUGUGGCUGGGGGUGAAAGGCCAAUCAAACCGGGAGAUAGCUGGUUCUCCCCGAAAGCUAUUUAGGUAGCGCCUCGUGAAUUCAUCUCCGGGGGUAGAGCACUGUUUCGGCAAGGGGGUCAUCCCGACUUACCAACCCGAUGCAAACUGCGAAUACCGGAGAAUGUUAUCACGGGAGACACACGGCGGGUGCUAACGUCCGUCGUGAAGAGGGAAACAACCCAGACCGCCAGCUAAGGUCCCAAAGUCAUGGUUAAGUGGGAAACGAUGUGGGAAGGCCCAGACAGCCAGGAUGUUGGCUUAGAAGCAGCCAUCAUUUAAAGAAAGCGUAAUAGCUCACUGGUCGAGUCGGCCUGCGCGGAAGAUGUAACGGGGCUAAACCAUGCACCGAAGCUGCGGCAGCGACGCUUAUGCGUUGUUGGGUAGGGGAGCGUUCUGUAAGCCUGUGAAGGUGUGCUGUGAGGCAUGCUGGAGGUAUCAGAAGUGCGAAUGCUGACAUAAGUAACGAUAAAGCGGGUGAAAAGCCCGCUCGCCGGAAGACCAAGGGUUCCUGUCCAACGUUAAUCGGGGCAGGGUGAGUCGACCCCUAAGGCGAGGCCGAAAGGCGUAGUCGAUGGGAAACAGGUUAAUAUUCCUGUACUUGGUGUUACUGCGAAGGGGGGACGGAGAAGGCUAUGUUGGCCGGGCGACGGUUGUCCCGGUUUAAGCGUGUAGGCUGGUUUUCCAGGCAAAUCCGGAAAAUCAAGGCUGAGGCGUGAUGACGAGGCACUACGGUGCUGAAGCAACAAAUGCCCUGCUUCCAGGAAAAGCCUCUAAGCAUCAGGUAACAUCAAAUCGUACCCCAAACCGACACAGGUGGUCAGGUAGAGAAUACCAAGGCGCUUGAGAGAACUCGGGUGAAGGAACUAGGCAAAAUGGUGCCGUAACUUCGGGAGAAGGC
rnacentral:rRNA from 1 species